rnacentral:rRNA from 1 species
UGAGGAAUAUUGGGCAAUGGGCGCAAGCCUGACCCAGCCAUGCCGCGUGCAGGAAGACGGUCCUAUGGAUUGUAAACUGCUUUUAUACGGGAAGAAACACUCCCUCGUGAGGGAGCUUGACGGUACCGUAAGAAUAAGGAUCGGCUAACUCCGUGCCAGCAGCCGCGGUAAUACGGAGGAUCCAAGCGUUAUCCGGAAUCAUUGGGUUUAAAGGGUCCGUAGGCGGCCUUAUAAGUCAGUGGUGAAAUCCCAUCGCUCAACGAUGGAACUGCCAUUGAUACUGUAAGGCUUGAAUAAUUGUGAAGUAACUAGAAUAUGUAGUGUAGCGGUGAAAUGCUUAGAUAUUACAUGGAAUACCAAUUGCGAAGGCAGGUUACUAACAAUUGAUUGACGCUGAUGGACGAAAGCGUGGGGAGCGAACAGG